UGAGGAUGCAUGUGAAGACCUUCAAUUAGUAAGUGGAUGUGAAUGGGAGAAUCUGGGACCUCUUGACUCUCACCAAGGAGAGAACUUGGUUUCAAAGGCCUAAUAGAGAAAAGGAUGAAGAAAUAUUAGGCACAAGUGAAAAGGGAAGGUUUUCUGGUCCUUUUUGGUACCAUAGCUAUAAUAAUAAAGCAGCUACCUUCUCAGAAGUGCUAAAGGUCUGGACAGAAUGUCCCCAAAGAUAUGCUACAAAACAUCAUCCCAUGGUGUAAACAAGAGUGAACUCAUGUCCUGUGCACCCUGUGCAAAAUUGUUCCCAUGGAUC